rnacentral:lncRNA from 1 species
GUGUGCCACCAGCACCCAGCUUAAGGGUUUUUUAAACAGGGCUUUGUAUGGUUUUUAGAAGAGUGUUUUAGUGGGGUUUUUGUUUUUGGCUUUUAGGGUUUAAGUGUAUAUUUAGUGUUUUUUUUUCUGGGUUUUUAAAGGAUUUUAUCAUAUGUUAGGGUUUGGGGCUUAUUUUUAGGCCUUGGUUUUUUUUUCUUUUAGGGUUUUACUGAUAUUUUUUAGGAUCUUUUCUAGUGUGCUUGAGUUUUUUCUUUUAAAUUUUAGGGUUUUUUAAACAGGGCUUUUUAUGGUUUUUAAAGGAGUGUUUUAGUGGGGUUUUUUGUUUUUGUUGUUGGCUUUCAGGGUUUCAUUGUAUAUUUAGUGUUUUUUUUUCUGGGUUUUUAAAGGAUUUUAGCAUAUUUUAGGGUUUGGGGCUUAUUUUUAGGCCUUGGGUUUUUUUUCUUUUUGGGUUUUACUGUUAUUUUAUAGGAUCUUUUCUAGUGUGCUCGAGUUUUUUCUUUUAAAUUUUAGGGUUUUAUUUUUGGGGUUUAAGAGUUUUAGGGUUGUCAAGCAGUGGUGGCCCAUGCCUUUAAUCCCAGUACCUGGGAGACAGAGGCAGGAGAUUU